rnacentral:rRNA from 1 species
GACGAACGCUGGCGGCGUGCCUAAUACAUGCAAGUCGAGCGAAGUUUUUCUGGUGCUUGCACUAGAAAAACUUAGCGGCGAACGGGUGAGUAACACGUAAAGAACCUGCCUCAUAGACGGGGACAACUAUUGGAAACGAUAGCUAAUACCGGAUAACAGCAUAAAUCGCAUGAUAUAUGUUUGAAAGUUGGUUUCGGCUAACACUAUGAGAUGGCUUUGCGGUGCAUUAGCUAGUUGGUGGGGUAAAGGCCUACCAAGGCGACGAUGCAUAGCCGACCUGAGAGGGUGAUCGGCCACACUGGGACUGAGACACGGCCCAGACUCCUACGGGAGGCAGCAGUAGGGAAUCUUCCGCAAUGGGCGAAAGCCUGACGGAGCAACGCCGCGUGAGUGAAGAAGGAUUUCGGUUCGUAAAGCUCUGUUGUUAGGGAAGAAUGAUUGUAUAGUAACUAUAUACAGUAGAGACGGUACCUAACCAGAAAGCCACGGCUAACUACGUGCCAGCAGCCGCGGUAAUACGUAGGUGGCAAGCGUUGUCCGGAAUUAUUGGGCGUAAAGCGCGCGCAGGUGGUUUAAUAAGUCUGAUGUGAAAGCCCACGGCUCAACCGUGGAGGGUCAUUGGAAACUGUUAAACUUGAGUGCAGGAGAGAAAGGUGGAAUUCCUAGUGUAGCGGUGAAAUGCGUAGAGAUUAGGAGGAACACCAGUGGCGAAGGCGGCUUUUUGGCCUGUAACUGACACUGAGGCGCGAAAGCGUGGGGAGCAAACAGG